rnacentral:rRNA from 1 species
GAUGAACGCUGACGGAAUGCUUAACACAUGCAAGUCAACCUGUGGCGGACGGGUAAGUGACGCGUAAAGAACUUGCCUCACAGGUAGGGACAACAUUUGGAAAAGAAUGCUAAUACAUAAUACUGUGAGAGAGCUUUGCGUCCCAGUAGCUAGUUGGAGAGGUAACGGGUCACCAAGGAGAGGAUGGGUAGCCAGCCUGAGAGGGUGAUCGGCCACAGAGGGACAGGGACACGAGCCGUACUGCUACGGGAGGCAGCAGCGGGGGAUUUUGGACGCUGGGCCAAAGUCUGAUCCAGCAAUUCGGUGUGCACGAUUAAGUUUUCGGAAUGUAAAGUGCUUUCAGUUGAGAAGCGGUACCAACAGAAGAAGUGACGGCUAACUACGUGCCAGCAGCCGCGGUAAUAC